AUUGAACGCUGGCGGCAGGCCUAACACAUGCAAGUCGAGCGGGGUCUUCGGACCUAGCGGCGGACGGGUGAGUAAUGCGUAGGAAGCUGCCCGAUAGAGGGGGAUACCAGUUGGAAACGACUGUUAAUACCGCAUAAUGUCUACGGACCAAAGUGUGGGACCUUCGGGCCACAUGCUAUCGGAUGCGCCUACGUGGGAUUAGCUAGUUGGUGAGGUAAUGGCUCACCAAGGCGACGAUCUCUAGCUGGUUUGAGAGGAUGAUCAGCCACACUGGAACUGAGACACGGUCCAGACUCCUACGGGAGGCAGCAGUGGGGAAUAUUGGACAAUGGGCGAAAGCCUGAUCCAGCCAUGCCGCGUGUGUGAAGAAGGUCUUCGGAUUGUAAAGCACUUUAAGUCGGGAGGAAGGGCUGUAGGCUAAUACCUUGCAGUUUUGACGUUACCGACAGAAUAAGCACCGGCUAACUUCGUGCCAGCCGCCGCAGUAAUAC
rnacentral:rRNA from 1 species